rnacentral:rRNA from 1 species
GAUGAACGCUGGCGGCGUGCCUAAUACAUGCAAGUCGAGCGAACGGACGAGAAGCUUGCUUCGCUGAUGUUAGCGGCGGACGGGUGAGUAACACGUGGAUAACCUACCUAUAAGACUGGGAUAACUUCGGGAAACCGGAGCUAAUACCGGAUAAUAUUUUGAACCGCAUGGUUCAAAAGUGAAAGACGGUCUUGCGGUCACUUAUAGAUGGAUCCGCGCUGCAUUAGCUAGUUGGUAAGGUAACGGCUUACCAAGGCAACGAUGCAUAGCCGACCUGAGAGGGUGGUCGGCCACACUGGAACUUAGACACGGUCCAGACUCCUACGGGAGGCAGCAGUAGGGAAUCUUCCGCAAUGGGCGAAAGCCUUGCGGAGCAACGCCGCGUGAGUGAUGAAGGUGUUCGGAUCGUAAAAAUCUGUUAUUAGGGAAGAACAUAUGUGUAAGUAAAUGUGCACAUCUUGACGGUACCUAAUCAGAAAGCCACGGCUAACUACGUG